rnacentral:rRNA from 1 species
UACGGAGGGAGCUAGCGUUAUUCGGAUUUACUGGGCGUAAAGCGCGUGUAGGUGGCCUAAACAGCCAGAGGUGAAAUCCCGGAGCUUAACUCCGGAACUGCCUUUGGAACUAUUAGGCUAGAAUCUGUCAGAGGAUAGUGGAAUUCCUAGUGUAGAGGUGAAAUUCGUAGAUAUUAGGAGGAACACCAGAGGCGAAGGCGACUAUCUGGGGCAGUAUUGACACUGAGACGCGAAAGCGUGGGGAGCAAACAGG